AGUGAACGCUGGCGGUAGGCCUAACACAUGCAAGUCGAACGGCAGCACAGUAAGAGCUUGCUCUUACGGGUGGCGAGUGGCGGACGGGUGAGGAAUACGUCGGAAUCUACUUUUUCGUGGGGGAUAACGUAGGGAAACUUACGCUAAUACCGCAUACGACCUACGGGUGAAAGCAGGGGAUCUUCGGACCUUGCGCGAUUGAAUGAGCCGAUGUCGGAUUAGCUAGUUGGCGGGGUAAAGGCCCACCAAGGCGACGAUCCGUAGCUGGUCUGAGAGGAUGAUCAGCCACACUGGAACUGAGACACGGUCCAGACUCCUACUGGAGGCAGCAGUGGGGAAUAUUGGACAAUGGGCGCAAGCCUGAUCCAGCCAUACCGCGUGGGUGAAGAAGGCCUUCGGGUUGUAAAGCCCUUUUGUUGGGAAAGAAAAGCAGCAGGUUAAUACCCCGCUGUUCUGACGGUACCCAAAGAAUAAGCACCGGCUAACUUCGUG
rnacentral:rRNA from 1 species